GUCCUCAGUUCAGCGUUGUUUACAAGCCUGCAAGUUGCCUUCUUUUAAAGACGUGGCUCCGCCCUCGAUUCCUCAGCUCCCGCCUCGGAUGGGUCAACACGACCAGAAGGAAAGUUGCAUCAGAUGUCCCUCAGUGGACUGUGACCCACUAACCUCCUCUAUUUGAAAGAAAAUGUUGUCUUUAGGGAGUGCAAGACUCAUUUCAAUAGCCUUUGCGUGAAUGUUUAUUUUCAUAGUAAAUGGUUUGCUUAUUCACUGUUGGAGAUCCAGACAGUUAGUUUGUCAAAACAGGGUAUUAUAUAAUUUGACCGACUAUCAUAGGAAACUGUCUUUGAAUUGCACCUGCUGAGAAAACUAGCAAAAUAAAUGCCUUUUGUUUUUAAUGUAGCGUGAGUACAUUCACAAUGUCUUAUCCUUUCUAAUUCAGUUUAUUCUAUGUGUGUCAGUGCUGUAUGCAUGCCUAAGAGCUGUAGAAACUCACUGAAUGUGUGUGUAAUCAAGCAAAAUGCACUAUGGUGGCUACUGUCAUCAGCAUAGAGGAUCAUAUGAUGCAAUCUGCCACAACUGGCAAUAUCCACAUCCUCCACUGGCAAAAGAAAGCCCAAUCCAUCAUUCAAGAUUCACUGCAGUCCGGCCACAAGCUGUUUUGUUCUUUGCCGUCGGGCAGUCAUUAUUGCACCAUCAAAGCAAAGAACAGCAGACUAAAGCUUCCGCCCUAUUUGCAGUUCAUAAAUAACAUUUUUAUAGGACAUGUUCAAGGUUAACCUGGUGGAGAUGAUCUCUUCAUAUAUAUAUAAAUGUUCAUUUUGUAUAUGUAUCAAUAUAUAUAUUUCCCUUUGGUCUUGUGAUGUUUUGUUGUUCUUUUUGUUUAAUAAACAUUUGCUCAAAAACAAAGGGCAUGUUCAAGGUUUUCUGCUAGUUAGCAUGGCCCUGUUAGUCCCUGCUGAUGCAAUAUACAAGAUUCUGAAGGCAAAAAGCAUUUUCCCCCACUGAAAGCUAUUCAAAAGGAAUUAAUACUUAAAAAUAAAAUGUUCUAUUCAUCAAAGAAUCGUGAAUAAUGGCUGAUGAAAACUCUGUUUGGGAAUAGAUUGCAUUUAUAAAUACAUUAUCAUUUGAAAUCAGUUAUUAUAGAUUGUAAUGAUAUUUCACGCAAUAACUAAAACAAUUCUAGUUUUUGAUCAAAUAAAUGCAGUCUUAAAAAACAAUUUACCCAAAUUCACCCAUAUAUUUUACCAGACUGACUAUUUUAGUUUUUUCUCCUUCAAAAUGUUUAAUUCAGUGUGUUGUUUGCUGUUUCUUUGUAAUCAUUACAAAUUACUAGCAAUUUCUAAGUGAAAAUUGUUUCAAAUCCUACCCCAUUUUUUUACUAUGCUGCUAUACUGUAUAAUUUUAUAAUCUCUUGUGUCUAUUAUUAAGCAGGUUGUGUAUAAUGUAUUUGUUGUUUUACAAUCCCAGCAUGCUCUCAUUUUGCACUCUAGUGUAGCACAUAUGGCCAUAAAGCUCUCUACUCAUUACAAGAGAAUUUAGGUUGUAUGGAGGUCUGUAUGAUGACUGCUGAUAUUUUUGGGUGAGGUAGUUUACAGUAAGACUGCUGUGGUUCUGUGCUGUUGUAAUGACAGAGGAAGAGCACGUGAUAUUCAGUUUUUCUACUGUACUCAAAUGUUCCACAUCGUAGUCUUGUGUACAUGAACGCAUGAGCUACGUGAGAAAUGGGAGAGGUUAGAGAUUACAGAAUGUAUUUCUUCUUCCAGAGCCAUAAACAAUCUUUAGGCAGAACACACUGUACUACAAGGUUUUUUCCCCCUCUUUUUAUCUGUUGCUCUCUAACCAUAGUGCUCUAGUUCUUAAUCUGAGUCGAUUCUAUGUUUUCUCAAAUAAAACUAAACCUUUCUUCUUCCUAA